CCUACGGGGGGCUGCAGUGGGGAAUAUUGCGCAAUGGGCGAAAGCCUGACGCAGCGACGCCGCGUGAGGGAUGAAGGUCUUCGGAUCGUAAACCUCCGUCAGCAGGGAAGAACGGUCACUGUGCUAAUCAGCAGUGAAUUGACGGUACCUGCAAAGGAAGCACCGGCUAACUCCGUCCCAGCAGCCGCGGUAAUACGGAGGGGGCGAGCGUGAAUCGGAAUUAUUGGGCGUAAAGGGCUCGGGGGCGGGAUGUCAAGUCAAGGGUGAAAUCCCCGCGCUCAACGUGGGAACUGCCUUUGAAACUGGCAGACUGGAGUGGGUGAGAGGAUAGUGGAAUUCCAGGGGUAGGAGUGAAAUCCGUAGAUAUCUGGAGGAACAUCAGUGGCGAAGGCGGCUAUCUGGCACAUAACUGACGCUGAGGAGCGAAAGCGUGGGUAGCAAACAGGAUUAGAUACCCUGGUAGUC
rnacentral:rRNA from 1 species